AAUGUAGGCGGUUUUGCAAGUCAGGGGUGAAAUCUCUCAGCUUAACUGAGGAAGUGCCUUUGAAACUGCAUAACUAGAGGACAGGAGAGGAAAGUGGAAUUCCCGGUGUAGCGGUGGAAUGCGUAGAUAUCGGGAGGAACACCAGAGGCGAAGGCGGCUUUCUGGACUGAUCCUGACGCUGAGAUUCGAAAGCUAGGGGAGCAAACAGGAUUAGAUACCCUGGUAGUCC
rnacentral:rRNA from 1 species